CAAAUGGCCGCGGCGGCCCCAGGUCCGGCGUCACUCAGACAAGAGGGCGGGUAGAGGAGGAAGCGGCCAAGUCCACAGUACUGCUCUGGUGCCGCCGAUCACCGCUCACCUCAGCUGACCAGCCCUGUCCUCUACUGGGCCUCGCCUAGAGGAGGGAAAGGCCGCGGCGUCCGCUUCCUCCGCGGCUCAUGGCGACGACGCUUGGCACAUCCGGGACCCUCAGGCCGCUGCGGUCGCGUCGCCGGCUGCUCGGGCCCCAACCCCGGCCGCUGUGGUGACUCCGCCGCGCCUCGCCGUCGCCCCCGUCCCGCCCGCCGCCCCAGCCGCCAGGAACAUGUCUAACCUCGGAGGCCGUAGGAACGGGCCUGUCGAAGUGCGCCUGACAGGAAUCAUAUUGACAGGUCAUGAAAAUGAGACCAAAAGAUCUCUGGAAGCGAUUAAUGAUAAAAUUUCAUGGAGAAGAAGGCCUUGACUACGGAGGGGUUGCCAGGGUGAUGACAACUCCGUGAGGGUGGAGAUUAUACAUCUCUCAUCAUUUCAGCAACAAGGAAAUAAAUUAGUGGCAGAGUAAGGGUGACUUGGUUCAUGUUGCUGAGGAGGCAGAGGGCUGAGUUCUUCCAUCCAUCGCCUUCAAGUGUCAGGCGGCUUCCGGUUGGACAAGAUGGCUACCCCAGUGGGCUUGUUUCCUCUCUGGUCUCUUUUUCUGUCUAAGACUCACUCCAUACCAGCCUGAGCUUGGGACCAUUGUUUUGCUCCUCUCAUCCUCCUACCCCCAGAUCUGACAGAUUUAGCAAAUAAAAUUUACAAGAUCCUGUUAAAUUAGAAUUUCGGACAAACAAUAAACUACCCCACACUGUCUCAGGAGGGUCCCUCAGAGAUAAGUGUCACUGAGCCUCAGGAAGGAGGAAGCUCCAUCCCUGCCCAUCAAGCCCCCUCUUGGGGUCCCCUCAAGGAAGACAGUGGUUCCAGAAGGUGUGUUCCCACCCCCUUUCACAGCCUACCUCUCUCCCUUCCCUCUCUGACCCCAGGUUCCAGCUGGCCUGGGGAUUUCUGGGAGGAUCUGAAGAACAAGGCCAUCUGCAGUAGGAGCCUCCUGUUCCUCACCACCUAUGCUUCAGCCCUGCCCAACUAACAGCUCUCCAUGUUCUAAAGAAGGCAGGAGUGCUGGACCACCCCAGCCUUCUGGAACCCCAGUUCUGUGACAUUAUCCAUCUCCUGGAAAUAUGCUGGUUUUAACCAUGCAAAUUAGUUAAGCAUCAGGCAGAAAUAGCAGCUGGGCCUGGAAGCACAGGUGACAUCUGUGAGGAAAAUGGCUGGGUGGGACAGGGUGGAGAGCACGGGCUGUUCCCUUCCUUUCUGGGAAUAGCACCACCUUUGAGGUAACUCCUUCUCUCAUGGGGUUUUAGGCGGUGGCUGCCAGUGCCAGGGCCCUGUCCCCUGUCACCCCCCAUAGUCAUAGGAACGCUUCUGCGCCAGUCACUACAUUUAUAAGGGGAAGCUGGUGGAGCUGCUCAGCUUCCAACAGGAAGCCCAUGUGUGCAGGGCCAGAGGACACAGCCCAUCUGAGGUGCUAAGCUUCUGUGAAGAGGGAGUGGAGUCUGGACGGGAUUCCAGUCCCACGGUCCACCCUUUCUGGGACCCAAACACACCCUUCCCCUUCCUUCAAUUCUGAGAAGCAGUAAAUGUCCCUACUUGCGAACAAGUUUGAGUUGGGUUUCUGUCACUUGCAGCCAAAAGAAACCUGCCAGCUACUGUCAGCAUCGGUCAACCAUCUGUGAAACGCAAUGAUAAAAGAAUUUUCAAGGAACUGAAAUCCAGUGACAAAAAUGAAAUCGAUCAAGGCUGUAGUUGCACACCUGAGACAUUCCUCGAGAAGGCAGAGGAGAAAGGUGUGAAAAACAGUGAACCAGAGAAGGAUGGCCAGGGACAACAAAGAUUGGAGCUCGGAAGUUGAAUGACAGAUAUUCUGGAGAAACACACCAGAGAUGACAAAAGAAGGACCCUUCUUUGAAUGAAACAAUAAGAUUCAUAUAAGCAACAGGUCUGAGCUGAGGUGUCAUCUCUGAACACCAGGCUGCUGCACUAACCAGAAGACCCCUCCCCCCCCUGCAGUGGCCUCGCUGCAUCGUAAGGACGGAGGAGCUGUUGUCUCCACAGCUGACAGGUGCUUAGCGGUUAGAAGUCUGGUUUUGGCGCGGCUUAGAUCUUUACAUCUGAACUAGUCUUGUCAACAUAUUUUGUUAUAUUUCUGGUGGCUUUGUCUUUGAUGCUAU
rnacentral:lncRNA from 1 species